rnacentral:rRNA from 16 species
CCGAAAGGCGUAGUCGAUGGGAAUGCAGUUAAUAUUCUGCAGCUUGGUGGUAGUGACGGAUGCAGUGUGUUGUAUCUCCUUAUUGGAUUGGGGGUGCAGCGAAUGUGUUCCAGGAAAUAGCUCCACCGUAUAAACCGUACCCGAAACCGACACAGGUGGACUGGUAGAGCAUACCAAGGCGCUUGAGAGAACGAUGUUGAAGGAACUCGGCAAAAUACCCCCGUAACUUCGGGAUAAGGGGGCCCAUGCAUUGCGCAAGCAGUGUGUGGGGGCACAGAAAUGAGGGUGGCGACUGUUUACUAAAAAC